rnacentral:rRNA from 1 species
UAGGGAAUCUUCCGCAAUGGACGCAAGUCUGACGGAGCAACGCCGCGUGAGUGAAGAAGGAUUUCGGUUCGUAAAACUCUGUUGUUAGAGAAGAACAGCGCAUAGAGUAACUGUUAUGCGUGUGACGGUAUCUAACCAGAAAGCCACGGCUAACUACGUGCCAGCAGCCGCGGUAAUACGUAGGUGGCAAGCGUUGUCCGGAUUUAUUGGGCGUAAAGCGAGCGCAGGCGGUCAAUUAAGUCUGAUGUGAAAGCCCCCGGCUCAACCGGGGAGGGUCAUUGGAAACUGGUUGACUUGAGUGCAGAAGAGGAGAGUGGAAUUCCAUGUGUAGCGGUGAAAUGCGUAGUUAUAUGGAGGAACACCAGUGGCGAAGGCGACUCUCUGGUCUGUAACUGACGCUGAGGCUCGAAAGCGUGGGUAGCAAACAGG